rnacentral:rRNA from 1 species
CGGUGUCUGAUUAAGCUAGUUGGUGGGGGUAAGGCCCACCAAGGCGACGAUCAGUAGCUGUCUGAGAGGACGAUCAGCACACUGGGACUGAGACACGGCCCAGACUCUACGGGAGGCAGCAGUGGGGAAUUUUGGACAAUGGGCGAAAGCCUGAUCCAGCAAUGCCGCGUGUGUGAAGAAGGCCUUCGGGUUGUAAAGCACUUUUGUCCGGAAAGAAAUGGCUCUGGUUAAUACCUGGGGUCGAUGACGGUACCGGAAGAAUAAGGACCGGCUAACUACGUGCCAGCAGCCGCGGUAAUACGUAGGGUCCAAGCGUUAAUCGGAAUUACUGGGCGUAAAGCGUGCGCAGGCGGUUGUGCAAGACCGAUGUGAAAUCCCCGAGCUUAACUUGGGAAUUGCAUUGGUGACUGCACGGCUAGAGUGUGUCAGAGGGGGGUAGAAUUCCACGUGUAGCAGUGAAAUGCGUAGAGAUGUGGAGGAAUACCGAUGGCGAAGGCAGCCCCCUGGGAUAACACUGACGCUCAUGCACGAAAGCGUGGGGAGCAAACAGGAUUAGAUACCCUGGUAGUCCACGCCCUAAACGAUGUCAACUAGUUGUUGGGGAUUCAUUUCCUUAGUAACGUAGCUAACGCGUGAAGUUGACCGCCUGGGGAGUACGGUCGCAAGAUUAAAACUCAAAGGAAUUGACGGGGACCCGCACAAGCGGUGGAUGAUGUGGAUUAAUUCGAUGCAACGCGAAAAACCUUACCUACCCUUGACAUGCCACUAACGAAGCAGAGAUGCAUUAGGUGCUCGAAAGAGAAAGUGGACACAGGUGCUGCAUGGCUGUCGUCAGCUCGUGUCGUGAGAUGUUGGGUUAAGUCCCGCAACGAGCGCAACCCUUGUCUCUAGUUGCUACGAAAGGGCACUCUAGAGAGACUGCCGGUGACAAACCGGAGGAAGGUGGGGAUGACGUCAAGUCCUCAUGGCCCUUAUGGGUAGGGCUUCACACGUCAUACAAUGGUGCAUACAGAGGGUUGCCAAGCCGCGAGGUGGAGCUAAUCCCAGAAAAUGCAUCGUAGUCCGGAUCGUAGUCUGCAACUCGACUACGUGAAGCUGGAAUCACUAGUAAUCGCGGAUCAGCAUGCCGUCGUUUGGCUG